rnacentral:lncRNA from 1 species
GGUGUGGAUCCAUGCACAGGUGGAUCCAUGCACAGGUUUGGGUGUGGAUCCAUGCACAGGUGGAUCCAUGCACAGGUUUGGGUGUGGAUCCAUGCACAGGUUUGGGUGUGGAUCCAUGCACAGGUGGAUCCAUGCACAGGUUUGGGUGUGGAUCCAUGCACAGGUGGAUCCAUGCACAGGUUUGGGUGUGGAUCCAUGCACAGGUGGAUCCAUGCACAGGUUUGGGUGUGGAUCCAUGCACAGGUGGAUCCAUGCACAGGUUUGGGUGUGGAUCCAUGCACAGGUGGAUCCAUGCACAGGUUUGGGUGUGGAUCCAUGCACAGGUGGAUCCAUGCACAGGUUUGGGUGUGGAUCCAUGCACAGGUGGAUCCAUGCACAGGUUUGGGUGUGGAUCCAUGCACAGGUGGAUCCAUGCACAGGUUUGGGUGUGGAUCCAUGCACAGGUGGAUCCAUGCACAGGUCCGGGUGUGCCCACCCCCUGCCUGUGUGACAAAUGCAGCGCUCACCUUGCCAUGCUGUGACAACUAAAAGGUGAUAAUGAUGAGCAGCAGCGAGCGAGCGAGCAUGAGAGGCAGCGAGGAAACAACGAAAGCAGUUUUCCACAGGAGCACCAAACCGCGUCCCUGUGCGCCCCGAGCCCGCAUAAAUCGGCGGGUGAGUGGCAGAGCUGUCACCGGGGCUGACAGGAGCCAGCCCAGCAGCAUUACACCCGGCUCAGGUAUCAAUUACCAUUGCUAAUUCCGAAACGGAGCCCAGCUCGUGCUGACAGGGGACAGCGAAUUAAACCCUCACAAGUUACAGCAGCGAGUGCCUCCUCUGCUUGUUGUCGCCAGGAAUGCCGCGUUUGAAAUGGCCAGAAAUGCUGGGACGUAAACGUCGUAAUGCUGCGAGACAACGGCGGAAAUCAAAAACAUCAACUUUGUCUGGCCUGGAUGUGUUUGUGAAAGGAAAGUGAGGGUGUGAGGCCACCCCACAUCCCAUGCCGGUGCUGGGAUGGCACCGCUGGGCUGCUGUGCCACAUCUGGCGCUGCUGCAGCUCCCCGGGAAGGAGCGGGGCUCGGCUGCAGCCCAGGCUGCUCUCCUCUCUUCUUCUGGGGAGGAGAUGACUAAUGGGGUCAGGGAUCCUCUGCGCGCUAUUUUUAGGUAUUUUCUGGAUUCCGACUCUGCAGAGCCCCCAGCUCCCUGCCCUGCCUGCACGUCUGAGUGGGAUGAGAUGCCACGAAAGUGCCGGAGCCGCUGAUUUAUUGAUUUCCCGACAAAACAAAUCACGGCUCCGCCCUUCCCUGCCAUCGCUUUCCCCCCUCUCCAUCCCCACCGGAGCUGCUGCUCUGCCCUGGGCUGGAGGGGAGCAGCUCCUGCCCUUCCCACCCACCCUGGGACAGGCUUUGGGCUGAUGGGCACAGAGGGGACACGGGCUGCACGUGCCCCCAGCAUUUUGGGGCCGGGUGGUUGUGUCUUGGGGCGGGAAUAAGAGCCCUGAGCGGUGAGAAGUUUAAGGUGAGUUCUUCCUCCAAAAAGAGUCUUUUUUAACUCAAAAGUGAAGCUUCACCUGAAGAGAAACUGGAACAAGUGGCUCUUGAAGGUGUGAAUGCGUCAGAGCAGGGAUGAAAGGGGA